rnacentral:misc_RNA from 1 species
AUCCCUAUCUUUAAUUUCUCUUCAUUUCCUCUGCCAAGGAUCCAGGUAAAGCAAGUUUCCUAUAAGCCUUUUUUCAUCAGGAGUUGCAGGAGGAGACACACUUGGAACUUCUUAAGGAGACUCUCUACGACUAGCUCUCAAAAGAGUAAGAUUAUUUGAUCUACUAUUCUUGAAAUUCUACAAGAUUGGAGUCAAAUGUUUGAGGAACAAAAAAAAAAUGGUAAAAUCACCUCCAUAGCUAUAUCUACAAGUGGGUAUAAAUGGGCCUGCCUGGUUUUGCAAGGACAGGAGUGAUCUUGAGGAAUGGUAAAGCAGCCAGGAAGGAUUAUGUGGUAUUGGAGGGGAAGGAAGUAAAUCCGUACAUGUUCUUAAAAUAACAACCAUGUAUGGUAUCUGGAUCACUCAUCAAGUUAAGAGAUUCUCGCUAAGACAUAUCGUUUUUCAAAUUAGGUUAUUUUAUAAUAAAUUAUAUAAGAGAUGAAGAUGAUGGAUGUGGCUUGCUUCAACCGCUGAUACGUUUUUGGUCUCCUGAAAUUGAAAUGAAGCUGCAAUGCUGCAUCUUUCCAGUUGCCCGAUAUUUCGUACACCCCCAAUUUAAAAUCACAAUCAUAUACCGUUUAUUUCAAUCAUCACCAGAUUUCUAUUCUCAACUCAUCCAAACUUUAGCUUGUUCUCGAGCCUCGCAUCAAGGAAAAAAACUGCAUGCCCACUUGAUUAUAAACGGCUUAGCUUCUUCAACUCGUUUUGCCUCCAGGCUCAUCUAUUUUUAUACUGAGAUUAAACAGUUAUCUGACGCUCGUAAACUGUUCGAUGAAAUUCCCAAAUCAAACAUCCACCGUUGGGUCGUGCUCAUUGGUGCCUACUCUCGAUGUGAUUUUUAUCAGGAAGCUUUAACCGUCUUUUCUGAAAUGCAGAAUGAAAGAUUAGGGCCUAAUAAGUUUGUUAUUCCGAGUGUUCUUAAAGCUUGUGGUCGUUUGUUUGAUUUGCAAACUGGGAAGAUAUUACACUCUGUGAUUUUGAAGUCAUCAUUUAAGUCUGAUGUUUUUGUCAUUAGUGCAUUAAUCGAUAUGUAUUCUAGAUGCAAGCAAGUUGAAAAGGCGAGGCAAGUGUUUGAUAGGAUGGAAGAGAAAGACUUGGUGGCAUUAAAUGUCAUGGUUUUAGGUUAUGCUCAACAUGGUUUGGCUAAGGAUGGAUUUGUUUUGGUGGAGAAAAUGCAAAUGUUGGAUAUUAAGCCUAAUGUGGUAACUUGGAAUACCUUAAUUUCAGGGUUUGCACAAGCAUGUGACAAAGUAAUGGUUUUAAAGGUGUUUGAAUUAAUGCUUAUGAAUGGUGUGAAGCCUGAUGUCUUCUCUUGGACUUCGGUUAUUUCAGGGUUGGUGCAGAAUUUUCAGAUUGAGGCGGCUUUUGAUACAUUUAAACAAAUGUUGCAACAUGGGUUUUAUCCAAGUUCUGCAACUAUUAGCAGCCUCUUACCUGCUUGUGCAACUGUGGCAAAUGUGAGGCUUGGGAGGGGGGUACACGGGUAUGCAGUGGUGAUUGGAGUUGAAGAGGACAUAUAUGUAAGGAGUGCUCUUGUUGACAUGUAUGCCAAAUGUGGUUUUAUAUCUGAAGCAAUGGUAUUGUUUUAUAAGAUGCCUGAAAGAAACACAGCUACUUGGAAUUCAAUGAUUUUUGGAUAUGCAAAUCACGGGUACUGCAAUGAAGCUAUUGAGCUUUUUAAUCAGAUGGAGAAGGUAGAGAGAAAGAAGCUUGAUCACUUGAGUUUCACCGCUGUCCUCACUGCUUGUAGCCAUGCUGGAAGGGUUGAACUUGGACAAAGUUUGUUUCUUUUGAUGCAAGAGAAGUACAAUGUUGUUCCAAGAUUGGAGCAUUAUGCAUGCAUAGUUGACCUACUUGGUAGAGCUGGAAAAUUAUCCCAGGCUUAUGAUAUGAUUAAGACGAUGCCUGUUGAGCCUGAUUUAUUUGUUUGGGGAGCAUUAUUAGGGGCAUGUCGGAAUCAUGGGGAUGUAGAUCUUGCUGAGAUAGCAGCUAGGCAUUUGGCCGAGCUUGAGCCUUGGAAUGCUGGAAAUAAUAUGCUUCUGUCAAAUUUAUAUGCUGAUACUGACUGUCGGGAAAAUGUUGCAAAGUUCAAGAAUCUGAUAAAAAGAAAAAAGAUGAGAAGAUUUUCUGGGUGCAGUUGGAUAGAGGCUGCCAGAUAACUGUGGAUUCUGAGGAAGAAUUGCCCCAAUCCUUAGCCUGGAACUGAGAGAAUUCUUGGAUUGUUUGUGCAAUACCCUGCUUCGGCAGUGCCUUCCUGGGUUUUACUGCUUCCUUCAGGGGAUCUUAGGGAAUAUUUGGCUCCCUUUUUUUUUUUUUAAUUAUCUCCCCAAAAGUUGGAUCCAUCAGGGUGGGAAAAUUUUAGCAGGUGGAAUUGGCUAUCGGAUUAUGGCUUUGGGAGUUUGUAUGCAAUAAUCAAUGCAACGUAUUGAGAAGGGUUUAAUACUUGAGAUAAAUUUCCAUGCAUUUCAAUGAAAUUUACCUCGUAUUUAGUUGGG